AUUAGAUACCCGGGUAGUCCCAGCCGUAAACGAUGCACGUUAGGUGUAUCGAUGACCACGAGUCAUCGAGGUGCCGAAGGGAAACCGUGAAACGUGCCGCCUGGGAAGUACGGUCGCAAGGCUGAAACUUAAAGGAAUUGGCGGGGGAGCACCACAACAGGUGGAGCCUGCGGUUUAAUCGGACUCAACGCCGGAAAUCUCACCGGAUAAGACAGCUGAAUGAUAGUCGGGCUGAAGACUCUACUUGACUAGCUGAGAGGAGGUGCAUGGC
rnacentral:rRNA from 1 species